rnacentral:rRNA from 2 species
AAACCGUUCAGGGGUAAACCUGAGAAACCCGAAAGAUCGAAGGGGGAGAUUCAUCGUCGGCGGAGACGUCGGCUUCCCGCGGUACGCGAUGCGUACUCAACCGGCGGACGUUUAUUCGUUCGUCGGACACACGCUGCCGCUUGGGAUGCGCCGAUCGCGUCGGCGUGCACUUCUCCCCUGGUAGAACGUCGCGACCCGCUGGUCGUUGGUCUACGGGACCCCUGGCGUUCAACAGUCUGUCGACCCUUGGCGAGCCUCGCGCGAGUCAAGCGCGUCGACAGGAGCGCGUGGGUAACCACGUUCCCUGGCCAACUGAUCGGCGGUAGAGAGAAAGAAUGGUGUCGAGCCGCACACUCAUGCGUGCGUACUGGCCCGUCGCAAGCUUGACUUGGUUUCUCCGGAGGACGGACCUAGCGCCGUUACCGGGUCCGGUCGAGCCUUGGCGACGGUGUUCUCGUACCGGCUCCUAGCGCAACACCUGUCAGCGACGCUAUAGCUUUGGGUACUUUCAGGA